CGCGAUAAGCUCCUUCUCGAACCUGGUUAUCGGUUUUUAAACAUCAAACAUUUAUGCAAAGAAGCUGAUCGAGCGAACGGCUGUAAAACCGUUCGGCCAUCCAGAGGCAUACAUCGGCAUCCCGGAAAUCGUGCCAAUACCGCGCCUUUAUGUAACCGGUAUCGCUGAACGCUGUGAUAUGAGUAAAGAAUCAAACCCUUUUUCAAAAAGGAAAUUCAUUAAAAAUAAAUGGAGAAAUUUUGAAAUGGUAAAAUAUUUCUCCAAGUUAGAUUCGUUAGAUUCGAAACCGGCUGAAACGGUGAAUCAACAAUGGCGGUUUAAUGGGACAGGUAAAAAGCUGGGAAGUUUUCGCGAUUGGUGCACGUGGUAAGCAAUUGGCCUCGACUUGGCAACAAACGACGACCUUCUGCUUACGGAUGAACACGGCCUGCAAACGCGGAGACGAGACGCGACGCGUUGCGUUUGUCGAGCGAAAUGCUCGUCCACGAAGAGGGGAGAGGCCGAGGGACACCGGCAAGCGGAAAUGCAGUUCGCUCGAGCAAAAGAAGAAAGUGUCGGAGGGAAAGAUUGCGAGAGUGUGCGCGAAUCGAUUCGCGACGCGACACCUGUCUCGCACCCUGACCAAGUAAGUGCCUUCUUUAUUCCAUUGUCAGCUGUGAAACGUUUAGGGGAUCUCUCGUUUAAAUCCUGUUUCGCUUGUCAUCCUGUUAGCGGGGACCAGUUAAUGGCGUUUUUACGCGGGACCAAGUUUAGCUGUUACCCACUUUUACAGAUACCCGGAAGAACGUUCGUAAACUGGUUGCAAAAGGAUUCACGAUCGUCGAGGUCUUUAGCCUGAGAAACGAAUAUUUUCGAUCCUGUCUGUCGAUAAAGCAGCUAGCCGUUUGAUCGUGCUUACGUCCUCGCAGGAAUCUCUCGAUCUCAUUGUUCGUGAGCAGCAGGGCAGAAAGCGGUGCUUCCGGUUUCAAGUUGGCUCGUACACGACGCACGGUUCCACGACAGGCAUCGUUGCAUCGUCCAGGCACGUUCCUUGUUACGUUAAACCUGAUGAAACUGGACACGUUUGGUUGAAAAAGAAGUCAAAAGAACCAGCUAAAAUUACGUUGCAAAACUGUUCACCCUCGGUACGUCACGGACGACCACGCUGGCAUUAUCCUGGUCGAUGGAAAACUGUCGCGGUACCGGAAGCUCGUAACGCCCCGGGGAACCGGAAGUUGUCGUGGGACCGCUGGGAUACUUGAAAAUAUCGCGUACAGCCUUCACGUUCCCUGGGAACCAUGGGCUUGACACGCGCUUAGAUAGAUUCUCCUGUGUGUGCUUUCUGCGUUGCGUGUAAUGCGUGUUCAGCUACUACUGACGAGCUUCACUCUAACGUCACAAUUUACUUGUACGAAUCGUGAGAAUACGGCCUUUUUAGUGAAACCGUUUGUCUUAAGAAUCUGUGCCUUGCUCGCAUAGUUGGGUUCAAAGAUUUUAUAAAUCAUUUUUAAUAA